UCAGCUGAGACUUGAGCUCCACGAUUUCAGAUUCCCUAGAGGAAAAGCAGGCACAGUUACAAGCCCGCUCUGAAACACAACGGACAAUCGACCGCAGACCAAGGCCCGGGCUCUUCCACGGGAAACCCAGAAGGACAUAUACCUUCCAGACCGCCUGAAAUGAUCCGAGGAAUAAGGUGUUACUCUUUGCAGGAAAGGAUGGUGACAUACUGCAUGUCUGUGCACACCCCCCCCCCAAAAUUGGGAGGUAAUUACGACAUAAUGAGCACAGAGCCUCUGCCAUGGGAUUAAUCCCCUUAUCAAGGAUCCUAACUACCAGGAAGAUGCAGGAAAUGAAGAAUAAAUAUGACCUGAAUGCAUUAUAUGCAUGUAUUAAAAGUCACAAUGAAAACCUUAUUUCCUACCAUUAAAAUAUGCCAAAACAAA